AGCCCAAAAAAAACUCCCCAAGAAAGACUCCGACUCCUUCAUUUCUGUAUAAAAUCCCUCACAUUUCCCUUAUACACUAGCCUCAAAUUCAUUUGCUUCUUCCAUUAUUGUUUCUUCCCUCUUUUGACAACACCCAUUAUCCAAGAAAACAAAAACUAGCCAUCCCCUUUUGACCCAAAAAAGGAAAAAUGUGUUCUUACAAGUUCAAAAAGCAAGGAGAAAGGGUCGUUGAUAUUUCCCCAGAAACACUCACUCAUAUCAAUGGUCGUCCUGUUCUUCAACCAUGUAACAAUUCCCACAAAAAAUCACCUAAUUUCAAGAUUUCACCUUAUUCAAAAGUGAAAAAUUCUCCUCCUAUUUCUCCCAAAAUCAGGUCCCCUAGACAACAAUCUAUCAAGAAAGUGAACAAUGAUCCUAAUGGUUUUGGUUUAAAUACAAGUAGUGACAAAAUUGUGACACCCAAAAACCCAAAAGUGAAAAAUUCAACACUAACAACUACUCCUACUUCACCAAAAAUCAAGUCACCUAGACAACAACCUAUCAAGAAAGUGAAUGAUUCUAAUGGACAAAACCCAAGUAGUGACAAAAUUGUGACACCCAAAAACCCAAAAGUGAAAAAUUCAACACUAACAACUCCUCCUAUUUCACCGAAAAACAAGUCACCUAGACAGCCAGCAAUCAAGAAAGUGAAAAAUAUUAAUAAUUCUUCCAUCAUGGUUCUUGAAGUUGCUGGAAGCAUAGCAGCAGCAAGAAGGGAACAAGUUGCCAACAUGCAAGUGCAGAGGAAACAGAGAAUUGCACAUUAUGGAAGAACAAAUUCUGCGAAGUUCAAUGAAGCCAAAUUAGUCACUGCUGCUGCUGUUGAUUCAAGUUCUAAAGAGGGCAGAAGAUGCAGCUUUAUUACACCUAAUUCUGACCCUGUCUAUAUUGCAUACCAUGAUGAAGAAUGGGGAGUUCCUGUCCAUGAUGAUAAUCUGCUAUUUGAGUUGUUGGUAUUAACUGUGGCUCAAGUUGGAGCAGAUUGGACUUCAGUGUUAAAGAAAAGGCAAGACUUCAGAGAUGCAUUUUCAGGAUUUGAUCCAGAAAUUGUUGCAAAAUACAAUGAAAAGAAGAUAAAUUCAACAAGUACUGAAUAUGGAAUUGAGCUGAGCCAAGUCAGAGGGGUAGUUGACAACUCUAAAAGAAUUUUAGAGAUCAAGAGACAAUUAGGGUCUUUCCACAAGUACUUGUGGGGAUUUGUGAGCAGCAAGCCCAUUACAACACUAUACAAGGCCUGCAACAAAAUCCCAGUAAAGACAUCAAAAUCAGAAACAAUGAGCAAAGACAUGGUGAAAAGAGGCUUUAGAUAUGUUGGCCCAACUGUUAUACACUCUUUCAUGCAGGCAGUUGGGCUUACCAAUGACCACAUUAUCACUUGCCCAAGACAUGUCCAAUGUGCUACCCUAGCAACACAAGAACAUAUUGCUAUGUGAAAAUUUCAUCAACUAACAUGGGACAGUACUGUGCAUUAAAGUUCUCGUUGUAUGCAGGAUGCAACAUUCAGGCUGCUUCACCAAGCUUCACGUUGCUCUCCCACAAUUUCAUUCACAGUUUAGGUACCUCCCAUAUCAUCUGCCGCUUUUGCUUUCUUUACUUCUUGCUACUAAAAUCUUCUAGUUUGCCUGAUUCUCUCUUGUUUGUCCGUGAAUUCAACAAUCGUUCAAAAGGCGGCUCAACCCCAUAAAAAAGGGAAAAAUUAUAUAAACUUACUAAUAAUAGCAACACUUUUUUAAAAUUACAACUUAUAGCAAAAGUAGUAAUAUUUUAUUAUUUUUAUUUAAAAAUGCGUGUUGUCCACCCUUUAUUCUACCAUUACCUAUUUUCAAGCCACUUUUUCUAUUUCAGUUCCUUCCACUAUAAUGUUUUCUUUAAUUUAUUUUUUUUCAAAUUUUGCUAUUUCCUCUCAAUUUUCGAAUAAACAUUGUUCUCCAUCAAUUAAGAUUCGGUAAGGCACGGGCUUGGUCAUCAUUUUUAUGAAUUUUUCGGUGAUGUGGUAGCGACGGGGAUUGUGAUUUAUAUAUGAUGACAUAUGCUGAGUGCCUUAUUUUUGGUGAAUGUGUUUCAAAUGUUGACUCUUGAGAUCUUCUUUGCAUGAGCUAUGCUUCUAUGUUGUGGCAUUAUGGUUCGAGGAAAAAAGAAGAGAAGGCACAAAGUGAUGAUGAAGCACCAAUGAGGCCUCCUAUGAAAAUUGGGAUAACAAAAGAUAUUAAAGUGCAUGAUAUUUGAUGUUUACUUUGAAUUUGUUGUAUUUGACAACAGUUAACUUUAGGUGGACUAACAUUUAGUUGAAUAUUUCUUAAGUUUUAUAUGUUACUUUAAUGUUGAAAGUCGGUAUUUUAAUGUUUAUUUGAUGUGAUAUUUAGAUUUUUGAUGUUAAAACUAUAAAAUAGAAUUUUCCGUGAUUAGUUUAUGUUACUGUUAUGCA